UACGUAGGGUGCGAGCGUUGUCCGGAAUUAUUGGGCGUAAAGAGCGUGUAGGCGGCUAUACAGGUCCGUUGUGAAAACUCGAGGCUCAACCUCGAGACGCCGAUGGAAACCGUAUGGCUAGAGUCCGGAAGAGGAGAGCGGAAUUCCUGGUGUAGCGGUGAAAUGCGCAGAUAUCAGGAAGAACACCCGUGGCGAAGGCGGCUCUCUGGGACGGUACUGACGCUGAGACGCGAAAGCGUGGGGAGCGAACAGG
rnacentral:rRNA from 1 species